CACUGAACUCUCAGCUUGAGGCAGAACUCAGCACAUCUGUGCAGAGGAAUCCAUGCCUCAUGCCGCUCUCCUGUCUGCUCUGGGUGUUCCUGGCCUUCACAUUCUCUGGAUCUGGUGUGACCCAGAAAGUUACUCAACUCCAGCCAAAUGUAUCCAGACAAGUGGGGCAGUCAGUCACCCUGAACUGUCGGUAUGAAAUAAGUUGGACCGCUUACUACCUUUAUUGGUACAAGCAGCUUCCCAGUGGACAGAUGGCUUACGUUAUUCAUCAGGAUUCAUUAGUCUCAAAUGCAAGGAAAGACCGCUACUCUGUAAACUUUAAGAAAGCAGACAAAUCCAUCAGCCUCACCAUUUCAGCCUUACAACUGGAAGACUCUGCAAAGUACUUCUGUGCUCUCUCUGAACUCACAGUGCUUGAAGUAAUAGGAAAAGCUGUACAAAAACUCCAGAGCUUAGUAAGAGAGAGCCCCCCUUUUGCAAGACCCCAGCUGAAGGGCACACCCACAGGCCCCAGACAAGAAAUGAUAGUCCUGUGGUUAUUUAAGUUGUGGUCUGGAUCAGAAGAUCUAGUUCUAGUUAAAGGCACCUUCUAUGUUAUUUGGAAACAGGUGUACAGAGUAACUUUCUACUAA